GGGUUAGUAGCUCAAUUGGUAGAGCACCGGUCUCCAAAACCGGCGGUUGAAGGUUCGAGUCCUUCCUGGCCCG
rnacentral:tRNA from 1 species